rnacentral:rRNA from 1 species
GAGUUUGAUCAUGGCUCAGGAUGAACGCUGGCGGCGUGCCUAAUACAUGCAAGUCGAGCGAACGGACGAGAAGCUUGCUUCUCUGAUGUUAGCGGCGGACGGGUGAGUAACACGUGGAUAACCUACCUAUAAGACUGGGAUAACUUCGGGAAACCGGAGCUAAUACCGGAUAAUAUUUUGAAACCGCAUGGUUCAAAAGUGAAAGACGGUCUUGCUGUCACUUAUAGAUGGAUCCGCGCUGCAUUAGCUAGUUGGUAAGGUAACGGCUUACCAAGGCAACGAUGCAUAGCCGACCUGAGAGGGUGAUCGGCCACACUGGAACUGAGACACGGUCCAGACUCCUACGGGAGGCAGCAGUAGGGAAUCUUCCGCAAUGGGCGAAAGCCUGACGGAGCAACGCCGCGUGAGUGAUGAAGGUCUUCGGAUCGUAAAACUCUGUUAUUAGGGAGAACAUAGUGUGUAAGUAACUGUGCACAUCUUGACGGUACCUAAUCAGAAAGCCACGGCU